rnacentral:rRNA from 1 species
CCUACGGGAGGCAGCAGUAGGGAAUCUUCCGCAAUGGACGAAAGUCUGACGGAGCAACGCCGCGUGAACGAUGAAGGCUUUCGGGUCGUAAAGUUCUGUUGUCAGGGAAGAACAAGUACCGGAGUAACUGCCGGUACCUUGACGGUACCUGACCAGAAAGCCACGGCUAACUACGUGCCAGCAGCCGCGGUAAUACGUAGGUGGCAAGCGUUGUCCGGAAUUAUUGGGCGUAAAGCGCGCGCAGGCGGUUCCUUAAGUCUGAUGUGAAAGCCCCCGACUCAACCGGGGAGGGUCAUUGGAAACUGGGGAACUUGAGUGCAGAAGAGGAGAGCGGAAUUCCACGUGUAGCGGUGAAAUGCGUAGAGAUGUGGAGGAACACCAGUGGCGAAGGCGGCUCUCUGGUCUGUAACUGACGCUGAGGCGCGAAAGCGUGGGGAGCGAACAGGAUUAGAUACCCUGGUAGUCCACGCCGUAAACGAUGAGUGCUAAGUGUUAGAGGGUUUCCGCCCUUUAGUGCUGCAGCAAACGCAUUAAGCACUCCGCCUGGGGAGUACGGCCGCAAGGCUGAAACUCAAAGGAAUUGACGG